rnacentral:rRNA from 1 species
CCUACGGGAGGCAGCAGUGGGGAAUUUUGGACAAUGGGCGCAAGCCUGAUCCAGCAAUGCCGCGUGCAGGAUGAAGGCCUUCGGGUUGUAAACUGCUUUUGUACGGAGCGAAACGGUCUGCUUUAAUACAGUAGGCUAAUGACGGUACCGUAAGAAUAAGCACCGGCUAACUACGUGCCAGCAGCCGCGGUAAUACGUAGGGUGCGAGCGUUAAUCGGAAUUACUGGGCGUAAAGCGUGCGCAGGCGGUUAUAUAAGACAGAUGUGAAAUCCCCGGGCUCAACCUGGGACCUGCAUUUGUGACUGUAUAGCUAGAGUACGGUAGAGGGGGAUGGAAUUCCGCGUGUAGCAGUGAAAUGCGUAGAUAUGCGGAGGAACACCGAUGGCGAAGGCAAUCCCCUGGACCUGUACUGACGCUCAUGCACGAAAGCGUGGGGAGCAAACAGGAUUAGAUACCCUGGUAGUCCACGCCCUAAACGAUGUCAACUGGUUGUUGGGUCUUCACUGACUCAGUAACGAAGCUAACGCGUGAAGUUGACCGCCUGGGGGAGGACGGCCGCGAGGUUAGAACGUACGAAGAAGUAGUAGACGAGAGAGAGCGACGACGACGACGACGGGAGGGAGGAG